UCACGUGUCUCUCUUUGCCGCCGCCGUGCCGUCUGCUCGCUUCGCGUGCGCAUGCGCUAGCACACAGCGGUUUGUUUGCUUGAGGAUGAGAUUUGUGGUUUGUGGUAGCGGUGAAGCAACUUUGCCAAAUAUUCCGUUCAAGUUCCUCGCUGGAUGUCCCGCUCGUCCGUCGAUGUUCAACAGGUGAGGGAACGUUUCAGCAACGCCUGCGAGUUUCAUGCUCGCGGUUCAAAAGGUGAGGGCGUCUGUACAAAAUUGUAAAAUGGGCCGCUCUGUUACUACAGAUGCAACAAGUGCCAGUCCACUUUUUCUCAGCUGCACCCUCUCAGUUCAGGCAGCAGCAGUACCAGGUGUAUGUACAUAACUUCCAAGACACACGAGUGCAAUUCUGAAGCUGAUUUUCAGGCAUGGAGAGAAGAAAUGCAGGAUGCAGCCAAGAGUCAUUUUACUAAAGGCACAGGGAGAGGACACAUCAAAGGAAAAGGUCCAUCAAAUCACAAGGUUCCGUCAGGCGUGGGGACACCUGCCUUGCUGAUAUGUCUGCAAUGUUCCAAACUGGCAAGGUCUCGUUUGUCUUCCAAGCUUCCUAUUAUGCACAUGAUUUUGGGGCUGUCCCACACCCCACUGACAAAAACAGAGGAAGAUGC